rnacentral:lncRNA from 1 species
UCAGCUGUGGGAGUCCACACCCAGCAGCAGCUGCACUCUGGGCAGGUCCUUGGGCCCAGGGCAUCCAUUCACUGCUGGCACCAUGCAGAGGGCGACUCCUGGGAUGUUUCAUUUAAUCCUCACAGCAGCACAGUUGUCAGACACCAAGCACACUCAGAGCCUGCACCAGUACACCUGCCUGGCAGUGGGUGUGGAAGAGCCAAAACUGCAAUCAAGACCCCUACCCCCACCGGCCAGGUUCUCAGCGCCCACUGGUCUACGUUCCAGCCUCCUGGAGUCCCUCUGAGUGUGUCUGUGGCUGCAGCUGGACCCAGUUUUGAAUUCUUUUCAAGUUUCAUUUCAAAUGGGAUUUCAGAAUAAAAACGACUACACCCUGCCCUUCCUUCUUCUUGGAUUCACAUGGCGCUGUUGGGGUGGUGGGGGCAGGAGGCUUUCCACCCGUCUUCAGCCCCCAGCUGCUCAGCCUCUCCAAAUCCCUCCCAGCCUUUGCAAAAAGCCAGGCCCAUCGGUGAAAAACUAGGCCUCCAGCACCCAAUCCCUGGGCCACUGCUGUUCUGGCCAGCAGUCCGACAUUCCCUGCUGGAGGAGCAGGAAGUGCCUGUCCCUUGCUAGGGGACGGAGCAGUCUUUAAGUCUAAGCAAAGGGUGCCUGCCUGUGUGAGCCAGGCUCAGCUAUGCGACUCAAGAAAUGGGGUUCUGACUGGGGAAAUCUUCUGCACCCCCAGUUCCAGGGUGGCCAGUGGCCACCAAAAAUAUUGUCAGAGAGAGGACCCUGGACCAGGGGAUGUUCUUACGGUGCCCGUACCCGCUGUCUUUUCAGGGGCUCAUUCUCAGGCCAGCCCUGGGGCACGGAGACUACAACAGGAUCUGCCCUGGUCCUUGACCAGGAAGGCCAAAGUAUUUUUAUUUCCACCCAGAAUCUCUCUUCACAGCCACAUCCUAAAUUUGCAUCGCGGGUUUGGAUUGUGAGAACCCAAUGGCCAAGAGGAGACAGAGGUGACCCCAGGAAAGAGCACAGAGGCCAAAGCGCUGCCAGUGCUCCUCCAGAGGUGCGGAGCACCUGAUCCUUUGCAGCUCAAGGCGGGGGUGGCCGCUGGGGGAGGGUAGUGGAGAUGGCUGAAAAGGAAUGGAAGGGUUAGUAGAUUCUGCACCAAGCACUCCCCAAGCGCUUUGCUGGGAACGCUACGGCUCCGCAGAAUCCAGGUCCGCAGCUGAAGCCAAGGAAACCCGCAGGGGGAAGGUGGUGACGGGAGACCGCCUCUGAGCAGAAAGGAAAUAAAAAUCUAAAAAUCGAGCAGUAGAGGACUCCUGAGAGCCCAGACCCCCAGCCAAAGGCGCAGCCCUCACCCUGCAAGUCCCAAAGUCCGAUGCUCCGGGAAGGAAAUGUCUGCUUAUAAAGGAGCUCAAUACUCAACUGAAGAGAAAGGCAGUUCCGGGUUAGGCGUCAGAAAAUAAAAAUAAGGACAAGCAAGUUGUGAAAAAGACCCGGAGGAUUUGCCCGGAACAUGUUUGAAAGAUAAUGCAUGUGUGUCUCUAGUGCCAAACUGGGGGAACGAUCCCCAAAUCCGGUCCCAAGGUAUCGCGUCCUGAACCCCUUUUCGGGGUGGCACACGGAUGGAAAUCCCCCGACUUUACUUUAAAUUUUAUUUAAAAUCUCAACACUCAGUCAUUUAUUCCGUUUUUGCAACCAAACAAGUAAUAAAUAUUAUUUAGCACUUUGUUUUUACAAAAAUAAAACAGAUGAUACACUCUCUGCGAGGGGCGGUGCGAUCAGAGGAAGGGUGUUACACGGCAGACGCUACAAAGCCCAGUUUGCAACGCAGGCAGCGCCGAGGCGGCUUGCACGGAACGCAGGAAGCACGUGGAGGAGUUUACCAUUUGUGUUAAACGUGGCAAAAAUAAACCAAAAUAGAGGAAAGCCGGCUUAGACUCCGAUGGGGCUGGCAGUCACGUGAGCAAACAGCUUAGCAUUGCGCACUUACCUCAUCAUUGAUAAAUUUACACAUCC